UACGAAGGGUGCAAGCGUUACUCGGAAUUACUGGGCGUAAAGCGUGCGUAGGUGGUUUGUUAAGUCUGUUGUGAAAGCCCUGGGCUCAACCUGGGAAUGGCAAUGGAUACUGGCAAGCUAGAGUGCGGUAGAGGGUAGUGGAAUUCCCGGUGUAGCGGUGAAAUGCGUAGAGAUCGGGAGGAACACCAGUGGCGAAGGCGGCUACCUGGACCAGCACUGACACUGAGGCACGAAAGCGUGGGGAGCAAACAGG
rnacentral:rRNA from 1 species